AGUGAACGCUGGCGGUAGGCCUAACACAUGCAAGUCGAACGGCGGCACAGGAGAGCUUGCUCUCUGGGUGGCGAGUGGCGGACGGGUGAGGAAUACAUCGGAAUCUACUUUUUCGUGGGGGAUAACGUAGGGAAACUUACGCUAAUACCGCAUACGACCUACGGGUGAAAGCAGGGGACCUUCGGGCCUUGCGCGAUUGAAUGAGCCGAUGUCGGAUUAGCUAGUUGGCGGGGUAAAGGCCCACCAAGGCGACGAUCCGUAGCUGGUCUGAGAGGAAGAUCAGCCACACUGGAACUGAGAGACGGUCCAGCCUCCUACGGGAGGCAGCAGUGGGGAAUAUUGGACAAUGGGCGCAAGCCUGAUCCAGCCAUACCGCGUGGGUGAAGAAGGCCUUCGGGUUGUAAAGCCCUUUUGUUGGGAAAGAAAUCCAGCUGGCUAAUACCCGGUUGGGAUGACGGUACCCAAAGAAUAAGCACCGGCUAACUUCGUGCCAGCAGCCGCGGUAA
rnacentral:rRNA from 1 species